rnacentral:rRNA from 1 species
GGCCUACGGGAGGCAGCAGUGAGGAAUAUUGGUCAAUGGCCGAAGGGCUGAACCAGCCAAGCCGCGUGAAGGAAUAAGGCCCUACGGGUCGUAAACUUCUUUAGUCAGGGAACAAAGGGUGCCACGUGUGGCGCUGUGAGGGUACCUGAAGAACAAGCAUCGGCUAACUCCGUGCCAGCAGCCGCGGUAAUACGGAGGAUGCGAGCGUUAUCCGGAUUUAUUGGGUUUAAAGGGUGCGCAGGCGGUCUGUAAAGUCAGCGGUCAAAGUCCGGG